rnacentral:rRNA from 1 species
CGAAGGGCUAGCGUUGCUCGGAAUUACUGGGCGUAAAGGGCGCGUAGGCGGAUCGUUAAGUCAGAGGUGAAAUCCCAGGGCUCAACCCUGGAACUGCCUUUGAUACUGGCGAUCUUGAGUAUGAGAGAGGUAUGUGGAACUCCGAGUGUAGAGGUGAAAUUCGUAGAUAUUCGGAAGAACACCAGUGGCGAAGGCGACAUACUGGCCCAUUACUGACGCUGAGGCGCGAAAGCGUGGGAGCAAACAGGAUU